rnacentral:lncRNA from 1 species
GAAUGCCGAAAGGAAAUUGACCCCCUUUUCCACACAGCAGCAGAACCACCAUCAAAUCCACCACCAGCUCGAAUACGAGGUGGUCUCUGAGGUGAUAUAGAAUGUGACCUUUGUCUUUGUGUUCUAUGAUCAUCAGAAAACAUAAGCUUAGACAUCUCCUGCUUCAAUUGAGCAUGUCCUGCCUCCAAUUCUUGAAUCUUCUUUAGCAGCUCCUCAGCUGGUGGUGUUGGCCCUUGAGCUGCUGAUGCUGCUGUUGUAUUAUCCAUUUCAAUUUCAAGAAUGAAUCAAAAACCCCUCUUCACCAGUUUGACUUUCUUUCCCACCUCUAUCACCAAUUUCACUAAAACCCCACUAUAUAUCUGCAAACAUGGAAUGCAUUUCUAGCUAAAACAAAUGAAGAAAAUGGUUACCCUUUGAGCUCAAGAAUCCACCUUUUCAGCUCAAGAACCAACAAGAAAGGAUCUAUGACUAAUUCCACUAACACCCCACCAUUUAUAUCUGUCUACAAAACCAACACCUUCAAAUUUCUAGCUGCAAUGAAGAAAACAGUUGCCCCUUUGAGUUCAAGAAUCCAACUUUUCAGCUCAAGAACCAACAAGAAAGGAUCUAUGACUGAUUCCAGUGACACCCCACCAUAUAUAUCUGCCUACAAAACCAACAUCAUCAAAUUUCUAGCUGCAAAUGAAGAAAACACUUGCCCCUUUGAGUUCAAGAGUCCACCUUUUUCAUCUCUACAACUUUCUUGAUACUUUCCAUAUAUGGAUCUAUCACUAAUUCAUCAACAUAUGCAAAUACUGCAAGUUCAAUUUUUGUUGAUGGAAAACAAAAAAGAUGAUAAAUGGUCACCCUUUAAGUUCAAGAAUCCACCUUUUUCUUAAUCCAUCUCUAUCACUCUCACUCUCUCUCCUAUGACCAAUAAUAAUCUUUAAACACCAAACCCCACCCCCACGAUAUACUAUCUACUUGUAUAAAGCCAUAAGAAAAAUUACUAAUAUCUACAAAAUCAGUAUGCUAAAAAAAACCAACUUUUUCAGCUCAAGUUCUUACUUUCUAUGUAUGGAUGGAUCUAUGACUAAUUGCACUAAGAACCCACUAUACAUAUAUGUUCCUGUAUAUAUAAAAGUAACUCAAAAUCUUCAAGUUUUUUGAGUCCAUUUCUAGGUGAAAAUGCACAAAAAUGAACACCCUUUGAGCUUAAGAAACAACCCUCUUCAUAUCUCUCUCUUGAGGAUUUGCUCUUUUGGAGGUGUGGUUUGGUUUCUUUCCCUCUCUCUUUUCGAGACGGAUUCAGAAUUUUAAAGUUUACGGAAUUUAAAAUUAAUAUGUUAUUUCAUCUAUUUUAAUUGACAUGAUAUGUUUAAUUUUUCUCUCACUUGAUGUUUAAUGUUAUCGAAAAUAAAUUCAGNGUAAAUUUCACUGCAGCAGGGCCUCCUCGACCAAUACUACUACUGUCUCCCUCACCCUUACUACUACUACUCUCUCUUUGCAAUGGUGACGAAUGCCGAAAGGAAAUUGACCCCCUUUUCCACACAGCAGCAGAACCACCAUCAAAUCCACCACCAGCUCGAAUACGAGGUGGUCUCUGAGGUGAUAUAGAAUGUGACCUUUGUCUUUGUGUUCUAUGAUCAUCAGAAAACAUAAGCUUAGACAUCUCCUGCUUCAAUUGAGCAUGUCCUGCCUCCAAUUCUUGAAUCUUCUUUAGCAGCUCCUCAGCUGGUGGUGUUG